UGGCAGUGGAGGGGCAGUGUGACACAAUGGCAUCUGACGUGGAAGUGCACAGAAAGCAAAGAUCCGGUGAGAGCUGAGGCCAAGCAUGAACCUAUCCUGAAUUUAUCUCAAGUGCACUUCAGAUGCAGCGCAUGAUUGGAUCCCACCUGGUGUACUUGAAGAGCAGUCAUCCUUGAAAGAUAAACUCCUGACUUUUUUUCUUCCUUCUGAAAGCACGGAAAUGUUCAGUUCUGUUCUGCUCCUUUUUCUUGCCACUGAAGCAGUGUUUGUUGCCUCUAUAAAAUGGAACCAAACAAGAUGAUUAAAUGAUUCAUCAAAAAGAAAAA